ACUCCUACGGGAGGCAGCAGUGGGGAAUUUUCCGCAAUGGGCGAAAGCCUGACGGAGCAAUACCGCGUGUGGGAGGACGCUUUUUGGAGUGUAAACCACUUUUAUUGGGGAAGAAGAACUGACGGUACCUAAUGAAUCAGCAUCGGCUAACUCCGUGCCAGCAGCCGCGGUAAUACGGGGGAUGCAAGCGUUAUCCGGAAUUAUUGGGCGUAAAGCGUCCGUAGGUGGCUAAUCAAGUCUGUUGUCAAAGCGUGCGGCUUAACCGCAUACGGGCGAUGGAAACUGAUGAGCUAGAGUGCGAUAGGGGUCAGGGGAAUUCCCGGUGUAGCGGUGAAAUGCGUAGAUAUCGGGAAGAACACAAGUGGCGAAAGCGCCUGACUGGGUCUGCACUGUCACUGAGGGACGAAAGCUAGGGGAGCGAAAGGGAUUAGAUACCCCUGUAGUCCUAGCCGUAAACGAUGACAACUAGGUGUGGUUCGUAUCGACCCGAGCCGUGCCGUAGCCAACGCGUUAAGUUGUCCGCCUGGGGAGUACGCACGCAAGUGUGAAACUCAAAGGAAUUGACGGGGGCCCGCACAAGC
rnacentral:rRNA from 1 species